ensembl:lncRNA
CCGACAUGUUCGAUCUGAAAAAGAGACACAGCCUGGUCCUGAAGGUGGGGUUGGAGACGGAGUUCAGACGGGUGGCGUUAAGAAGGAGGUCGCGAGGCGCCGUGGAGGACCAGCCCUCAGAGACUGUCAGCAAUGGUGUGGGUGGAUCCUACAGACAAUCUGGGACUGCAUCGGAUCAUCUGAGUCCACAGAGGAGAGACCAAAACCAGGGCUCGCCUUUAGCACCCCAAGUACCCCCUCACCCCGCCCCCCUCCAGUCCCCAGAAAAGGCCUUUGUGCAGGAGAACCUCUCGCCACGAGGCCGCCAUCACUCCAGCGUCUCCUCACUGGUGGCCUCCCAUUGUCCUACUGGGGAAGGAAAACCACCUAGCGGCCAGAGAGCCCGGUUAGCGGUCCUGAUCCAGGUCAUCCCAGCGGAGUCCCUGACCUCCAGGAGUCCUGCAGGGACCAGCCCCGUGAGGACCCCGCUGUUGGGAGUCCUGAGUCCAUCCCUGAGUGGAGGAGGUGGUGGAGGAGCAGAAGGUGGAGGUGCAGGAGGAGGAGGAGGAGGAGGGGCUGAGGGCCAGUCUAACCCCCCCAGCCCGUCAUCCGGAGACGCCGCCCAUAAGCCAGCCAAACGCCGCAGCCCCAGCCUGUGGAAAACCAGGAGCGCCGUCUGGCUCAGGAGGUCCUGGUCGGGCCAGACCCAGUCCGGCUGCGCUAGGAAGGAGGAGCGGGUUCGACCCCGCAGUGCAGCCCUCCAGACCCUCGCCCCCCAGACCCCAGACCCC